CGGUAAUUCCAGCUCCAAUAGCGUAUAUUAAAAUUGUUGCGGUUAAAACGCUCGUAGUUGGGUAUUUGUCGAUCGCUACCGGUUGCUCCUUGUGAGUUUUACUAGGUUUGCGAGCGACAUUCUACCGGGGACAGUAUUUUCACUUCAUUGUGCAGUGCUGAAGCCGGGACCAUUACUUUGAGAAAAUGAGAGUGUUCCAAGCGGGCGUUUGCCAGAAUAUAUUAGCAUGGAAUAAUAGCAUAGGACCUCUAUCUGAUGCUGUUGGUUAUCGGAGAGAGGGAACGCAAAUAGGGAUAGUUGGGGGCAUUCGUAUUUAACUGUCAGAGGUGAAAUUCUUGGAUUUUUUAAAGACGAACUACUGCGAAAGCAUCUGCCCAGGAUGUUUUUAUUAAUCAAGAACGAAAGUUAGGGGAUCGAAGACGAUCAGAUACCGUCCUAGUCUUAACCAUAAACUAUGCCGACUAGAGAUUGGCCCCAAUAAUUAUGUUUUGUGGUCAGCAGCUUGAGAGAAAUCAAAGUCUUCGGGUUCCGGGGGAGUAUGGUCGCAAGGCUGAAACUUAAAGGAAUUGACGGAAGGGCACCACCAGGAGUGGAGCCUGCGGCUUAAUUUGACUCAGCACGGGGAAACUCACCAGGUCCAGACAUAGAGAGGAUUGACAGACUGAUAGCUCUUUCUCGAUUCUAUGGGUGGCGGGGCAUGUCCGAUCUUAGGGGGUGGAGUGAUUGGUCAGGUUAAUUCCGUUAACGAACGAGACCUUAACAUGUUAAAUAGUUCUCCGCACUGCAGGGUUCGCGUCAACUUAUUAGAGGGACUUCGUGUGCUUCCCAACGCGAGGAAGUGUGAGGUCAUAUCAGGUCUGUGAUGCCAUUAGAUGGUCUGGGCUGCACGCGCGCUACAGUGAUGUGUGCACCGAGCACCCAAUCUACUCCGGAAGGGUUGGGUAACCUAGUGAAAUCACAUCGUGAUGGGGAUAGAUUAUUGCAAUUUUUAAUCCUAAGCGAGGAAUUUAUAGUCGGCUCAACUCAUCACCCUGCACCGAUUACGUCCCUGCCCUCUGUACACACCUCCCGUCGCUCGUACCGAUGGAACGAUCCGGUAAUUUAUUCGGGCCCUGAGCAUACCGUAGUGGAUUGGUCGAGGAAAGUUUUGUAAACCUUAUCAAUGAGAGGAAGGAGAAGUCGUAACAAGGUAACCAAGAGGUGAAUCCCAGCACACGUGGCG
rnacentral:rRNA from 1 species